UACGGAGGGGGCGAGCGUUGUCCGAAGUUACUGGGCGUAAAGCGCGCGUAGGCGGGUUGGUAAGUCCGCUGUGAAAGCCCGGAGCUUAACUCCGGAGGGUCGGUGGAUACUGCCAGUCUUGAAGGUGCUAGGGGGAGAUGGAAUUACCGGUGUAGCGGUGAAAUGCGUAGAUAUCGGUAGGAACACCAGUGGCGAAGGCGGUCUCCUGGGGCAUUCUUGACGCUGAGGCGCGAAAGCUGGGGGAGCAAACGGG
rnacentral:rRNA from 2 species